rnacentral:rRNA from 1 species
GAUGAACGCUGGCGGCGUGCCUAAUACAUGCAAGUCGAGCGAACAGACGAGGAGCUUGCUCCUCUGACGUUAGCGGCGGACGGGUGAGUAACACGUGGAUAACCUACCUAUAAGACUGGGAUAACUUCGGGAAACCGGAGCUAAUACCGGAUAAUAUAUUGAACCGCAUGGUUCAAUAGUGAAAGACGGUUUUGCUGUCACUUAUAGAUGGAUCCGCGCCGCAUUAGCUAGUUGGUAAGGUAACGGCUUACCAAGGCAACGAUGCGUAGCCGACCUGAGAGGGGGAUCGGCCACACUGGAACUGAGACACGGUCCAGACCCCUACGGGAGGCAGCAGGAGGGAAUCUGCCGCAAUGGGCGAAAGCCUGACGGAGCAACGCCGCGUGAGUGAUGAAGGUCUGCGGAUCGUAAAACUCUGUUAUUAGGAAGAACAAAUGUGUAAGUAACUAUGCACGUCUUGACGGUACCUAAUCAGAAAGCCACGGCUAACUACGUG